rnacentral:rRNA from 1 species
AGUGAACGCUGGCGGUAGGCCUAACACAUGCAAGUCGAACGGCAGCACAGUAAGAGCUUGCUCUUACGGGUGGCGAGUGGCGGACGGGUGAGGAAUACAUCGGAAUCUACUUUUUCGUGGGGGAUAACGUAGGGAAACUUACGCUAAUACCGCAUACGACCUACGGGUGAAAGCAGGGGAUCUUCGGACCCUGCGCGAUUGAAUGAGCCGAUGUCGGAUUAGCUAGUUGGCGGGGUAAAGGCCCACCAAGGCGACGAUCCGUAGCUGGUCUGAGAGGAUGUUCAGCCACACUGGACCUGAGACACGGUCCAGACUCCUACGGGAGGCAGCAGUGGGGAAUAUUGGACAAUGGGCGCAAGCCUGAUCCAGCCAUCCCGCGUGGGUGAAGAAGGCCUUCGGGUUGUAAAGCCCUUUUGUUGGGAAAGAAAAGCAGCAGGUUAAUACCCCGCUGUUCUGACGGUACCCAAAGAAUAAGCACCGGCUAACUUCGU